rnacentral:rRNA from 1 species
UUGGGGAGCGAACAGGAUUAGAUACCCUGGUAGUCCACGCUGUAAACGAUGUCGACUUGGAGGUUGUGCCCUUGAGGCGUGGCUUCCGGAGCUAACGCGUUAAGUCGACCGCCUGGGGAGUACGGCCGCAAGGUUAAAACUCAAAUGAAUUGACGGGGGCCCGCACAAGCGGUGGAGCAUGUGGUUUAAUUCGAUGCAACGCGAAGAACCUUACCUACUCUUGACAUCCAGAGAAUUCGCUAGAGAUAGCUUAGUGCCUUCGGGAACUCUGAGACAGGUGCUGCAUGGCUGUCGUCAGCUCGUGUUGUGAAAUGUUGGGUUAAGUCCCGCAACGAGCGCAACCCUUAUCCUUUGUUGCCAGCGAGUAAUGUCGGGAACUCAAAGGAGACUGCCGGUGAUAAACC